UGGGGGAUAUUGCACAAUGGGCGAAAGCCUGAUGCAGCGACGCCGCGUGGGGGAUGAAGGCCUUCGGGUUGUAAACUUCUUUUGCUCUGAACAAGGCAUGCUAAUGGGUGUGUUGAGUGUAGGGGUUGAUUAGCGCCGGCUAACUACGUGCCAGCAGCCGCGGUAAUACGUAGGGCGCGAGCGUUGUCCGGAAUUAUUGGGCGUAAAGGGCUUGUAGGUGGCUGGUUGCGUCUGUCGUGAAAGCUCAUGGCUUAACUGUGGGUUUGCGGUGGGUACGGGCUGGCUUGAGUGCAGUAGGGGAGGCUGGAAUUCCUGGUGUAGCGGUGGAAUGCGCAGAUAUGAGGAGGAAUACCGGUGGCGAAGGCGGGUCUCUGGGCUGUUACUGACACUGAGGAGCGAAAGCAUGGGGAGCGAACAGG
rnacentral:rRNA from 1 species